UUACGACUAAUAUGUUUAUUUUGUGUAUAACAAAAGAAGGCGAAGCCGAACAAGGGCAAUCGGGAGAAGAAGACUAUUUUCCACCAUUCGGGUUUAAGGCCUUUCUCAUAUAGGAUGUAGGCGUGGCAGAAGGAGGGUUCAAAAUUCCCGGAGAUCGAUGUCUUUGCUAACGUUUAUGUUCGGCCUGGGAUGAGUUGACCGAGUUACUUCUUGCAAGUAAUUUCUUAUGCAUUAAAGAUUUAUACUAAUGAUUUCAAAUUGUUUUCUAUUAAUAAUCCAUGUUUUUUUCAUAGGCGAUUAUGGUGGAGAAGGGUUAGUCACUUCAAGAGUUCGCCUCCCAGCGUCCCCAGGACACGCCAAUCGAUCUGUGGAUCCCUCUGAAGAUGCGGGGUUUCACAUCCUUACAGAGACGUUCAACCACACUUUUGGUCGGACGCAAGGGACAUAUUGUCGGGGGAUGGGAAAUGCCAGGUGGCGGGAGAGUAGAGCAUCUUCAUCCUUGCAGUCGAAGGGCGAGGUUAUGGCUUUGACGCAGGAAGUCGCUAGCAUGAGGAGUGAGCUUGCAUUGUAUAUGUCUUAAAUGUGAAUGCUUGUACAAGCCCUUAGUUCCUCCGAGAUUCGUCUCCCCAGUUUUUUUGCACCACGACCGUCAGAGCCCCUCCACACCGUGCAUACACAGCAAUCAGGCCCAUCGACCUUCGACCCCGUCCCUAACCCCACCUUCUUCUAGCAGCAAGAUUACCAAGCACCUCUAAAUGACUUGCUUAUAGAUUAUUCUUUAAUUUUUUUCCAUAGUUU